rnacentral:rRNA from 1 species
CAACUCUCAACAACGGAUAUCUUGGCUCUCGCAACGAUGAAGAACGCAGCGAAAUGCGAUACGUAGUGUGAAUUGCAGARUUCCGUGAACCAUCGAAUCUUUGAACGCAUAUUGCGCCCAAGACUUCGGUCGAGGGCAUGUCUGCGUCAGCGUCG